rnacentral:rRNA from 1 species
UACGUAGGGAGCAAGCGUUGUCCGGAUUUAUUGGGCGUAAAGAGCUCGUAGGCGGUUCGGUAAGUCGGGUGUGAAAACUCUGGGCUCAACCCCGGAGACGCCACCCGAUACUGCUGUGACUCGAGUCUGGUAGGGGAGCACGGAAUUCCUGGUGUAGCGGUGAAAUGCACAGAUAUCAGGAGGAACACCGGUGGCGAAGGCGGUGCUCUGGGCCAGUACUGACGCUGAGGAGCGAAAGCGUGGGUAGCGAACAGG